CAUGUCUUGGGAGCCCUUAUUGCCACCAUGUAAAAGUCUGGCUGCCCUGAUGGUGCCAUGCUGGAGAAAUCAUGAGGAGAGACCACACAGAGAAAGAUGCCCAAGGAGACUUGGCUGUCCCAUCCCCCCCCCCCACCAGCUGUUCAAGUCUUCUUUGCCUAGGACUUACACACAGGAGUCCAGAAGCCUUUAAGAUGCCCAGACACCAUCUGACUGCAACUUCACAUGAGAACCUGAGCCAGAACCACUCAACCAAGCUGCUACUGAAACUAUGAGAGAUGACAAGUGACUAUUAUUCCUGUAGCCAAUAAGUUUUGGAGUGUUGAAUCUAUGUUAGCAUCAACCAAUAACUAAUACAGAUUUCGGUACCUGUAAGUGGGGAGGGGUGGGGGAGGUGAUGCUGUAACAAAAAACUAAAAACACAGCAGUCGCUUUGAGGACAGAAGUUGGAAGCGUAUGGAAGAAACUGUGGAAUCUGAUGUUCUUCAAGGAGGCCACCUACAAGGGCUUAAAGGAAACCCACAGAUCAAGAGGAACUCUACAGGAAGAGCUGUAUUUGAGAAAUUCGUCUGGGGAGCCUCAUCUGAACCUGGACCUAAUUAGAUGACAAGGCCUAGGACUUCAAGUUGAUGCUGCAGCGUAAUGAGACUUGGGGACCUUGGAAAGAGCCGUACCUGACCAAUCAUCGCCUAAAAGAACAGAACAACCCACCACGCAGGACUGAUGCAAGACUGGUAACUGAAUACCUAUUACAUGCCACAUAGAGUCCUGUCAACAGCCCCGCAAAGUAAAUGCUACUGGCCCUCCUUUAUUGGUGAAACCCUGGGGAAACAGCAGCGAACCCAACGCGAUCUGUCCUCAAGCAGCAACACCCAUCCAAGCAGAGAAGACAAGCCAGAAGGGCUCUUGAUCACUUCUAUGGACAGUCAUGCUGUGAUGGAGCGAAAUCUCCUAUGCAGAGAAGUUAAAUGUGGUCUGGCCUGGCCCCGACCUCAUUGCGGUGACACUGGAGAACAUAGUCAGUGAAAAGAGGGAAGGUGGCCAUGAGAGAGCCUGGUCCACGACACAGGGCCAGAGGCCUUGUGAGAAACAAGAACCACAAAGACAGGAAACAGAGAAGAGAAGAGACCACAACACAGAACUUGGGGAAACAGUGAGCAACUGGAGGAAAAGUCACUCACCUGGCAAGGCCAAGGAGACUGGAUCCUAAAACUGACAUGGAGAGAGCUGAGAAUUAACACAAAAAUAAAAGGCACAAAAUUUAGCAGCAAUGAUACCAAUGGGGUUGAGGGUAAAGGAGGGUAAAAGUUAGAUUUGUUGCAAAUUAUUUAAGAAGCGAUUUGAACCUAAGUUCCCUUCCCCCAACUCUAUGCCCCCAGGUGACUGCCCUCCCUGUCCAGAGAGGACUAGAGGUUUAUUCUUUAGAGAGGACAACACAGAUGGUGUCUGGACUGAGGGACAACAGAACCAGAUGAAGGCCAGGGUACCAUGUUGAAUGAAGUGACCACAACAGACAGAAUGUUCAGGUUCUCGUCUUGCUUCCUGAACUGGGCUCCCAGAACAUCAGCAUCCAGGCCUUUUUUCCAGGCAGGAGAGUGAAAGGGCCGAUAAGAAGAAUCUAGCUGGUUCAAGGGGAAGGAUUUUUAAAAGUUACACUGGAGUUUUCCCCAACAAGUGGCACCACUAGAUUACCCUACAGAUGAGUUCCCAGUUGACAAGCACCAAUGAUAGCUUUUUAGAACCCCACUCCUCGGUGCAAAGAUAUGCAGGGAUCACCAGGCUCGUCUGAGAAGUUUCCAGCAUGAUGGACAGAGACCAAAAGUACAAGGGGCAGGGGAGCAACCUGAAGGAAAGAGAAUGUAGUUGAAGUAGGUAAUUAAAGUUCUGCCCCUCUCUAAAAGGUGGAGAAGAAUCUACAUAGCACAGUUUGGUCAUAUGAGAUAUGCCCUCCCUGAGCACGUCCUGUUCACCAUAAGUCACCAGAAAUUUGGGGACAGCUCUCCUGUCCAGCCACAGAGAGCCUGUAUCACCUCCUCUACUUGGGAAACAAUUCUGACCUUCUUGGCAAUGUCAUCUUCCAUAUGAAAAGUGUCAGCUAUAUGCCAAGUCACCACUGACUCUGCCUUAGGAUCAGGGUGCACGAGGGCACAACCAAUGGCUCGCCAUGCUAAGAAUAAAGGGUCAGCAAGCACGUGUCUCAGUAGGGCCGUCUAUUCUACCAUUGAGGAAGACAGGAAAGAAGAAAGGGAAAGAGGUAGGUUCAAAAUGGAGACAAUGAGGAACUCUCCCUCUGCCAACUGUUUAAUAUCAUACUUGGCUUUCCAUCACUCUUUGUUAUAGAUUUUCUGAAUCACAGCCCGCAGAGGAGGCACCCAGUCAGCCCUGAGAUUGUUUGUUGCACUUGCCCAUUGUAAAAACUACAUUUCAUAACCAAAAGAUGAGCUAAUAUUCUACUUCAAUAUCAGUAGUAAAAAGCAAAUAACUUUGGGCACGAGAACCAAGAUAUAUGAAGGGAAGUUUAAUGCUCCCAUAGAAAAGCAAAUAUUUGUACUUAUUAAUAUCCUGAAACCCAUGUUGCCAUGAAUAGUUCCUUCUCCUUUUAUCCCACGCUUUUGUCUAACACAGUGAUAUAUUGCCACCCUUUCAAAAUCCUGACACAGAUGACAUUGAAGCAAAUUAUGUACCUCAGCCAGAUUUCUCAGUUGAAAUGAAGAUAGCUGAUGUGUACAUUUUUCCAUCUAAUUAACAUUCCGCAGUUUGAAUAGCUGUUAUCAUGCCCUGGGUCCCAUAUGAAUGGGUGAAUAGAUAGAAAGAUCCAUAAACAGCUUGGCUUGCAUAGAAUGAGAUUUUUUCUCCAGACAAAGAGAAAAUGGAAUGAAUCAUUGUCAUCUGGAUGGUAGCAGCCAUCAGAGACUAACACAAGCACACCCUCCCCUGUGUUCAGAACACAAGUGUGUUGCUUAGCACCAGCAGCCAUCCCUGAAGGAUCUUUGUCCACUCCCAGGCUCUAUAUUUGGCCAUGUAACUUUUUUCACCCAGGUCUUUGUUUAUGCUGUGUGGUGGUUUCCAAAAAUUUGUCCCCAAUUUUUUUAUACUCUUUCACUCAACAGGUGUAGAUGAAUUCUCCUUUCUCUGUAUUUAGUGAUUCAAUUCCAAGAGAAUAUAGCAGAAUUGAUGUGUAUAACUUCUGAGACUAGGUAAAA